rnacentral:rRNA from 1 species
UACGUAGGGUGCAAGCGUUAAUCGGAAUUACUGGGCGUAAAGCGUGCGCAGGCGGCUAUGUAAGACAGAUGUGAAAUGCCCGGGCUUAUCCUGGGAACUGCAUUUGUGACUGCAUGGCUAGAGUGUGUCAGAGGGGGGUAGAAUUCCACGUGUAGCAGUGAAAUGCGUAGAUAUGUGGAGGAAUACCGAUGGCGAAGGCAGCCCCCUGGGAUAACACUGACGCUCAUGCACGAAAGCGUGGGGAGCAAACAGG